GUAGAUUCCGUGGAAAAUCUGCUGGUGCUUGGUUCUAUCACCACAUGAUCCUAUGCGUCAAGCCUUCUUAGUGCCUCUUUAGAGGAUACAAAUCUCUCAGAAAAUUCCAAUUGAGGUUGCUUCUGAAACAAUUGAAGUUGGAGGUUAUCCGAUGGCCUGCUUUUUGGAGUACUUUCAAAGAUGAAUUUGAGAAUGAGAAAAACAUGCUGGAAGGUCCACCUGUUGAGAAGGCAGCAGAAGUUCUUAGACAGAGAAUCGUUGAACUUGGUACUUGCAGAACUGUCAUUUUUCUUCUUUUCGGAUCAUCAUUCGGAUGUGACUCAAUCUAUUUUCUGCAGAAUAUUAUCUUCAUUUCAAAGUAUUACUCGAGGAUUACCUCGAAGAGACUUGCAGAGC